CCUACGGGAGGCAGCAGUGGGGACUAUUGGACAAUGGGGGGAACCCUGAACCAGCCAUGCCGCGUGUGUGAAGAAGGCCCUCGGGUUGUAAAGCACUUUCAGUGAGGAAGAACGCCUGGUGGUUAAUACCCAUCAGGAAAGACAUCACUCACAGAAGAAGCACCGGCUAACUCCGUGCCAGCAGCCGCGGUAAUACGGAGGGUGCGAGCGUUAAUCGGAAUUACUGGGCGUAAAGCGCGCGUAGGUGGCUUGAUAAGCCGGUUGUGAAAGCCCCGGGCUCAACCUGGGAACGGCAUCCGGAACUGUCAAGCUAGAGUGCAGGAGAGGAAGGUAGAAUUCCCGGUGUAGCGGUGAAAUGCGUAGAGAUCGGGAGGAAUACCAGUGGCGAAGGCGGCCUUCUGGACUGACACUGACACUGAGGUGCGAAAGCGUGGGUAGCAAACAGGAUUAGAUACCCCUGUAGUC
rnacentral:rRNA from 1 species